GUUGUAUAGUCAAGUAAUUAAGUGCAUGUGGUGGAUGCCUUGGCAGUCAGAGGCGAUGAAAGACGUGAUAGCCUGCGAAAAGCUCCGGGGAGGCGGCAAAUAUCCUUUGAUCCGGAGAUGUCUGAAUGGGGGAACCCACCUACUUUAAGGUAGGUAUUGCAACAUGAAUACAUAGUGUUGCAAGGCGAACGAGGGGAAGUGAAACAUCUCAGUACCCUUAGGAAAAGAAAUCAAUUGAGAUUCCCUCAGUAGCGGCGAGCGAACGGGGAUCAGCCCAUUAAGUUAUGUGUGUUUUAGUGGAACGCUCUGGGAAGUGCGAACGUAGAGGGUGAUAUUCCCGUACACGAAAGGGCACACAUAAUGAUGACGAGUAGGGCGAGGCACGUGAAACCUUGUCUGAAUAUGGGGGGACCAUCCUCCAAGGCUAAAUACUCCUGACUGACCGAUAGUGAACCAGUACCGUGAGGGAAAGGCGAAAAGAACCCCUGUGAGGGGAGUGAAAUAGAUCCUGAAACCGCAUGCAUACAAGCAGUGGGAGCACCUUCGUGGUGUGACUGCGUACCUUUUGUAUAAUGGGUCAGCGACUUAUAUUCAGUAGCGAGGUUAACCGUAUAGGGGAGCCGUAGAGAAAUCGAGUCUUAAUAGGGCGUUUAGUUGCUGGGUAUAGACCCGAAACCAGGCGAUCUAUCCAUGAGCAGGUUGAAGGUUGGGUAACACUAACUGGAGGACCGAACCCACUGUCGUUGAAAAGCCAGGGGAUGACUUGUGGAUAGGGGUGAAAGGCUAAUCAAGCCUGGUGAUAGCUGGUUCUCCCCGAAAGCUAUUUAGGUAGCGCCUCGGACGAAUACCAUAGGGGGUAGAGCACUGUUUCGGCUAGGGGGUCAUCCCGACUUACCAAAUCAUGCAAACUCCGAAUACCUAUGAGUACUAUCCGGGAGACAGACUGCGGGUGCUAACGUCCGUAGUCAAGAGGAAAACAAUCCAGACCGCCAGCUAAGGCCCCAAAAUCAUAGUUAAGUGGGAAACGAUGUGGGAAGGCAUAGACAGCUAGGAGGUUGGCUUAGAAGCAGCCACCCUUUAAAGAAAGCGUAAUAGCUCACUAGUCGAGUCGGCCUGCGCGGAAGAUGUAACGGGGCUAAAACUAUGUGCCGAAGCUGCGGAUGUAUACUUUGUAUACGUGGUAGGGGAGCGUUCUGUAAGCCGAUGAAGGUGUGUUGAGAAGCAUGCUGGAGGUAUCAGAAGUGCGAAUGCUGACGUGAGUAACGACAAAACGGGUGAAAAACCCGUUCGCCGAAAGACCAAGGGUUCCAGUCCAACGUUAAUCGGGGCUGGGUGAGUCGACCCCUAAGGCGAGGCCGAAAGGCGUAGUCGAUGGGAAAAUGGUUAAUAUUCCAUUACUUCUGUGUAAUGCGAUGAGAGGACGGAGAAGGCUAAAUCAGCCUGGCGUUGGUUGUCCAGGUGAAAGGAUGUAGGCAUGUAUCUUAGGCAAAUCCGGGGUACUCUAUGCUGAGAUCUGAUAGCAAGCUGUACUUGUACAGCGAAGUGGUUGAUGCCAUGCUUCCAGGAAAAGUCUCUAAGCUUCAGUUACACAGGAAUCGUACCCGAAACCGACACAGGUGGUCAGGUCGAGUAGACCAAGGCGCUUGAGAGAACUCUGCUGAAGGAACUAGGCAAAAUGGUACCGUAACUUCGGGAGAAGGUACGCUGUUGUUGGUGAUGGAACUCGCUUCCUGAGCUGACGACAGCCGCAGAAACCAGGCCGCUGCAACUGUUUAUUAAAAACAUAGCACUCUGCAAACACGAAAGUGGACGUAUAGGGUGUGAUGCCUGCCCGGUGCUGGAAGGUUAAUUGAUGGGGUUAGCGUAAGCGAAGCUCUUGAUCGAAGCCCCAGUAAACGGCGGCCGUAACUAUAACGGUCCUAAGGUAGCGAAAUUCCUUGUCGGGUAAGUUCCGACCUGCACGAAUGGCAUAAUGAUGGCGGCGCUGUCUCCAGCAGAGGCUCAGUGAAAUCGAAAUCGCUGUGAAGAUGCAGUGUACCCGCGGCUAGACGGAAAGACCCCGUGAACCUUUACUGCAGCUUGACACUGAACUUUGACCUUACUUGUGUAGGAUAGGUGGGAGGCUUUGAAGCUGGAACGCUAGUUCCAGUGGAGCCGUCCUUGAAAUACCACCCUGGUAAUGUUGAGGUUCUAACUCUGUCCCGUGAUCCGGGACGAGGACCGUGUCUGGUGGGUAGUUUGACUGGGGCGGUCUCCUCCUAAAGAGUAACGGAGGAGUACGAAGGUGCGCUCAGCGUGGUCGGAAAUCACGCGUAGAGUAUAAAGGCAAAAGCGCGCUUAACUGCGAGACCCACAAGUCGAGCAGGUACGAAAGUAGGUCUUAGUGAUCCGGUGGUUCUGUAUGGAAGGGCCAUCGCUCAACGGAUAAAAGGUACUCUGGGGAUAACAGGCUGAUACCGCCCAAGAGUUCAUAUCGACGGCGGUGUUUGGCACCUCGAUGUCGGCUCAUCUCAUCCUGGGGCUGAAGCAGGUCCCAAGGGUAUGGCUGUUCGCCAUUUAAAGAGGUACGCGAGCUGGGUUUAGAACGUCGUGAGACAGUUCGGUCCCUAUCUACCGUGGGCGCUGGAAAUUUGAGAGGAUCUGCUCCUAGUACGAGAGGACCAGAGUGGACGAACCUCUGGUGUACCGGUUGUGACGCCAGUCGCAUCGCCGGGUAGCUAUGUUCGGAAGGGAUAACCGCUGAAAGCAUCUAAGCGGGAAGCCUACCUCAAGAUAAGAUUUCCCUAGGACUUUAUGUCCUCUAAAGAGCCGUUCGAGACUAGGACGUUGAUAGGUUGGAUGUGGAAGCAUAGUGAUAUGUGAAGCUGACCAAUACUAAUUGCUCGUGAGGCUUGACUAUACAACACCCAAGCAGUUG
rnacentral:rRNA from 1 species